rnacentral:pre_miRNA from 1 species
UAUAUACUCCUUUCGUCCAAAAAAAUUUGUCUUAGAUUUAUAUAGAUACAAAUGUAUCAAGUCAUGUUUUAGUAUUUAGAUACAUUUAUUUUUAGACAAACUUAAAACAAGAAUUUUAAGACGGAGGAAGUAUCAG